rfam:Myotis lucifugus cont2.28534, whole genome shotgun sequence.
GGCAGUUCUUGGGUGAUGCACCCCAGAAUCAGGCUCCCUCCCCUCUGGUUCCAGGUGCAUCAUCCGAGAACCACA